GGCUCUUGGCUCAGCUGGUAGAGCAUGGCACUUGCAAUGCCAGGAUGGUGGGUUCAUUUCCCAUGGGGGACCA
rnacentral:tRNA from 1 species